rnacentral:lncRNA from 1 species
UAAGUAACUCUCUCAUUGUGCACAAUCAUUGUAUGUGAAACUUUUAGCAAAUCACAUUUAUAUUGUUUGCAAGUAUGCUAUUGUUUUUUUUUUUUAAGAAAUUGUAUGGCACCUUCAGAAAUUUGAGUAUUUUGGUACUGUUAUUGAGAGAAACUCUCUUGCGUUUCCAAACUCAUUCAACUAUUGACUAUUUUUUGACUUAAAAACAAUUGUACCAAAACUCAUAUAUUUCUCUUGGUACUACAAAUCUCAAUUUCUUUUGCUCAUUUCCAUAAUAAUUUUUUGCUUUAAGGACAAGACUUACACAGUUCUUUGAUGUUAUUUUCCAAAUCUAUUUGAAGUUCAUCUUGAAUUAGAUAUAAACAUAGGUGAAACUCUCGUUUUGAUUAGAGAUUUGUGUGCAUCUAAUUUUUGUCCUUGUCUUAAAAGAAAUUAAAAUGGGAUUCAAAUGUUUCCACUUGUCAUAUAAUUCCUCCUUAUUCUGUCAAACUUUCACCUAUUGAGAUUCUUAUCAACACACUGAUUCAACUUGAAUAUCGAAUUUGAAAAAGAUAAAAAGGGUAACAAUACAUAUGCACAAACAUUAAACAGUGUUAGAUAAUGUUAGCAUCAGAUCUCACGUCUUGUUUUGUGCAUCACUAUUCCUACUUGACGAGGUGACACCUCCGCUUGUCCACUAUUAUUUCAGUGUCUGUCUGAGAGGAUGUACAAUUGUACAUUACUGCCAUGUCUCUGACCAUUAAUGAUUUACCCUGCAGACGAAAGGAUUAUUGGUGAGGCAAAAGAGGAAAAUGAUAGUUACACGUGGCUGGAAGAAAUUGAGAUGCCAGAGAACUCUGAAAUGAAUGGUGUUGAGUACCUGGGUCCAACACCCUCUUAGUGUAUGUUUGGGAAUCACUUGAAUCCAACUCCGAUGGUCUUUCAAUGAAAGCUACAAUAUGGUUGCUUUGAAAUUUUUACAUUGGAACGUGUAAUUUCUGGGUGAUUUUAAUGCUAAUUCAAACACACCCUUAGUAGUAACAUCUUACCGUGUACUACUAACGCUACGGAUCAUACACAGAAUCUCCCGUCGCUUUCCCUUUUUGUCCACAUUCAAUGAAUGCGUGCUGCACGUGUUGGCUUUUGUUCUUUUAUGUUGAAAAUGUACCUAUAAUUCGCACAUUUUUGCUAUAGUUGGUAUUUAUAACAUCAUGGGACUUGUUGUCAUGUAUAGGAAAACUAUGGGCUUGAGGUGGUUCAGCUGUCAAUAAGUUGGGAGUUUAUGAUUCAUCCUUUCCGGCUUCUUUUGUUACUUUUUUUUUUUUUUUUUGCAAAGGGUCCACAGUGGUAACUUUAUUGAACAAGUGGUGAACAAGGUUGACUCACUUGUUAUGGAGAGAAAGCCAUCCAUGACUUGUUAUGGGGAGAAAGACAUCCAUGACAGGCAAUACUUUUAUGUUUGUGGGAAAAUAAAUAGAUAAUAAAUAUUAGAGUGAAUUGCACUUUAGAUUCUUUAAUAUUGAACACGUCUUUAUUUUUUAGUAAAUUACACCUCAACCAUGAGGUUUGUCCUAAUUACAUUCGAUAUUUUUUUUUAUUUUGAAUCGUACAAAAAAAAUCUUUUAAUUUCUGGAUAUUUGUUACAAUUUAAUUCUCUUCUUAGGUGUAAAUCAUUACACCAAUCCUCUUUUUAAUAGUGAAAAAUGUUACACUGGUCCCUCUAAAAAAAAUAGAAGAGUAUCAUGUCAUAAAAAUAAACAAUAUGAAUAUGAGGGAGUCGGUAUAAUUUAUUCUUUCUUUUUCUAUUCUUAUAUGAUUUUUUAAUUGAUUAAAAAACAUUACUAUUUAAUUGAUUGAAAAGCAUUACUACUUUAACGCCUCAUAUGAUACUAACUUUUCUAAUUAUUCAAAAAAAUUAUCAGGUGUUAAUAUAUUUUAUUCUAAAACUUAUUGAAAAUUAUUAGUAGAAUUUGAGUUUGAAUUUUUCAAGGUUUUGUAAACGAAGAUAAUAGAGGAGAGAUUUUAUCAAACAAUGGAAUAAAAUUAUUGUUUCAUAUAAUUAUAAAAUAUUAAAAUGACAUUUUUAUUCUAUUCUAUUUUAUUAUCUACCAUUAACAUAAACAUAGCUUAAAAGGUUUCUUGGUGGGUUAAGAGAGAAGACAUUUCAGAAUAAAUUUUUCAAUUUUGGUUGAGAUAAGAGUGGUCUAGACUUUUCUUUUAGAGUUAAUGUUCUAACCUUAUCUUAGAAAUAUUUUAUCAUAUUUCCUUUUAUGUUGAUGUAAAGUUUCAUCAUUUUAUUCUUAAAAGUUGUUUAAAUGAAUUAAGAGAUAAGGGUGUUUAUAAAAUAUUAUUAACCCUAAGUACUUAUCAAUAUUGACUUUUUUGACAUACUAGAACAAUAUGUGAUUAAAAAAGGUAUAUAAAAUAAAUGUAAUGAAUUUAAUAAAUAUUUUUUUCUAAUUAAAGAAAUAGUAUGAGAAAUGUAUAUUUAUAAAAAGAAAAUAUUAAAAAUGUUUAACUAUGAGAGAAAGAAAGUGAGAGAUUUUUUUUAAAGAAAAAUUGGGCAUUUUAAUUUAUAAUAUAGACAUAAAUAUUAAUAAAAUAAAAUAUUUUUUAUGCAUAAAAAUAUGUCCAUUGUACAAAAUAAAUAUUUUUUUUAUAAACUAAAAUUUAUAAUAAAUAAAAACUUUUAAACAUAUAAAUUACAAUAUAAUUAUGAAAUAAAAUAAACAUAAUACGAGAGAGUUGAAUAAUGUGUUUGUGAAGUUUAAAACUUUUUGCUACCUUUAGCAAAACACAAUUUUAAAAAAUCACAAAUAUUUCAUUCAAAGGGAAAGUUUGAAAGGAUGAUUAUAUUUUUUAAUUUGAUAGGUUUAAUUCUCCUUCAAAUGGUUAUAAUAAAUAUUAUUUAUGUCCUUUCUCGUUAUCAUCAACAACAAUUUUAAUUCAAAGAUUGUCAAAUCUCAAGUAUUUUUUAACACAAAAUCAUUCUUAGUUUUUACAAACAGAAAUGAACCCGACAAAAAAAAUUGAGAGAGAAAUAUAAUUUAGAUGAUUUUGUAAUAAAAAAUGACAUUAAUUAUUUAUUUUAUAAAAAAGUCUAAAAUCUAUUAAAGUAAAUUUCAAUGAUAAAUAUUUGGUAUAACUUAAUAUUUAGUUUUUUUAAAAAAAUUUAUAUAAUAAUAUCUUGUUUAACACUUUCUUUAAAUGUCCAAAACUAUCAAUGCUAACUUCUCUUCUUCCUUUUUAUUCUUGAUACACCAUUCAUUGUCAUGAUUGGUGGUAGAGCUCCUCCUUCAUUAUUGUGUCUAAUUUGGUUGAACUCCUCUUUCAUUGGUAGUUUGUGAUUGUCGUGGUGAUUGAUGUUGCGGGUAUAACCUAAAAAUAUUUUUAAAAAAUCAUUUUUAAUGUUUUUUUUUAUAAAUUUAGUUAUAUUUUUUAUAAUACAUUUAAUUACUCAUUUGUUUCUAUAGUUUCAUAAUUUUAAUCCUUUUUAGUUUAAAAUUGAUUUUUUUAGUUUUUAUAAUUUAUAUUUUAAUUAUCUUAUAGUCCUUAUAAUUUGAAAGUAAUAUUUUUAAUCUUAUAGUUUAUAUUUUGAUUCUCUUUUAAUCCUUACCAUCAAAAUAUGAUUAAUAUUAUGAAUUACAAUUAACUACAAAAAUAUUAACAAGUAAUCCAUAAGUAAUUUAUCGCAAGAUAAUUUAUAAUAAAAAAAAGUUAAUAAUUUGUAACUAAUUUGUUUUUUACACACAUGCACGCCCGCCCGAAUAUUAUUAUAGCCCUUCAAGACAGUUGUUCCCUUCAGGGCAACAUGAACAACUCAAUGGCAUGGAUACAAUAGAGAUGCCUUCCAAUGACUAUUCAUAAACAAUUGCACCUAGACAAGGAAGUCCACCCAGAGAAAACUCGAUUAAGUAUAAUGAUAAUCAGAGUCACUAGCUCAUUUUCUAUAUACAUAUAAAUGAUACAUCUCCAGCAUAACCAACCAUAUGCAGUACCUGUAAUCUAUGCUUCAUCUUUUUAUGAAGUUCAAACUUGAAAUGUCUGUCAAGUGUGCAUUCAGUAUUAUGCCUAAUAUUGACCUGCAAAUUAAGCAAGAAGCAGUUUUCAAUUCAAUGUAAAUACUAAAUAUCAAUGAGAAUGGAAAAAAAUAAAAUUUAUCAUCACAAAGACCUUGAAGAUCAUCGUUUCCCAAAACCAACAGCGACCUUUCUCCUCCUGCGGUUUUCUAUCUUUUCAGGGCUUGAGAGUCCAGUCAUUCCCUCGUACUUUGUUUCUAGGGCCUGUAAUAAUUUUACCAGAACGUUUAUUAACAUUCUUUCUCCAGAAUUCAAUUUCUGUGUACUCAAUGUAGGCAUGAUAGAUCUCCAUAUUGUCCGACAGAUGAAAUAAACAAUUAGAAAUGUGAUAAAUUGUCUUCAAUGAUUAGUUUGUGUCACUCUUACUUCACUAAAACCAAAGGACCAAAUAGAAACUAAAAGAAGAGAUAAAGGAACAAAUUCAGAAAAGAUAAAAAUAAAGGACUAAACUUAGAAGUUGAAAAAUACACUUAACAAAAGUGGGAGAAAUGUUAAAAAUUUGCCUAUGCAGCUGUUGAGAUGGCAAUUUCAAAGCUCACAUCUUAGGUUUUAUAUAUUAUAUAUAUGUUGUCUUAAUGAAUUUCUCCAUUUAUUAAGGGAAACAACAAAACAAUUUUUCCUUUUCAUGUCAUCUAGAUUCUAGAUGAUUAUGCCUUUGCAUUUGUGUAUGCACUAAGGAAAUUGCAAACAUGGAAAAUUAAGCAACACUGUUCUUUCAAGUUCCAAGUGCAAUAUUUAUUCCUAAUUUAUGACAAUAAACUUUUGUAACGCAAGAAUUUGCCCCAAUGCUUUUCGAAAAAAGAUAAGCCUAGUGCAUGAGCCUCCCGUUAGGAAUCUUCUCUACUUUACUAACUGCAACUAGAGGUAGGACAGACGCACACAAGAACCAACACAAGACAGUACACGCAGAGAUAAAAGAUUCACUGUUAUUGAUAGUUCUUUCUCUCUUUACACAAGGAAGAGCUCUCUUCCCUUACAACACUAAGACACUUCUCAGGUUCUCUCAAUACAAUCAAUUUCUCCCAUUUUCCCCCUCCUUAGAAAAACUGCUAUAUAUUCAAAACUACUAACUAACCUGCCAGAACCUAACUGUCACUCCUUCUCAUCUUAUUCUUCCUACUGUAUUGUAACAACGACUUAGCUACAGUAGAUGAUUCCUCUUGCCUAACAAUAACCCCCCAGGAAAAGAACCUUGUCCUCAAGGUUGAAAGCAGGGAAUUGUUGCAUCAUAUUUGAUCUGUCCUGCAAGGUUGCUCCUUCAGCAUGCUGUCCUUUCCACUUGAUGAAUACUUGUGGAAUUUUUGCUCCUGCUGAACCAAACAUUCUUGUUACCAAUACUUGUUCCGGUUGUAUCCCUUGUUCUUCAGCUUGUAGUUCCUUUGGCAAUUCUUCCUCAAUCUGAUGUUCUCCCACUGCAAGCCGGGGUCUGUGAUAGUCUGGUUCUUGAAAUCUUUGUGAGAAAAAUGAUCUAACUUCCUCCUUCACUCUAUGUGGUUCAUCAGUCCAUGUUCCAUCAAUCAUGACUCCUUUUAAGGAGUUAUUCCCACGGUUAGCAUUCAUCAGCAAAUGAAAGUAAAGUGAGUUGCAGUCACCUUCCUUGAUCCAUCUUGACCUCGCCUUCUGUCUCAAUAGAGAUUCAUGAGCUUGAGCAGCUACCCAUAGUGCUUCCUGUAAUUGUUUCCUUGUCAGCACUUAUUGGGGAGAUAGCUGUCUAUGAAUUGUGUCCUCCUACAUUUUCUUUAAGUCAGCCUCAAUCUUCUUGACCUUCUUGAAAGUAUCUCCAAAUUGUUCCUUAUUCCAAAUCUUCAGCCUUUCUUUGAGUCUCUUCAUUUUUUCUUUGAGCAAGUAACCUCCCCACCUCGAUUGCUGAUUGGAGAUCCAGCAUUGGUGAACAGUUGCCUUGAAAGAGUUGUCUAAUAGCCAACAAUAUAGAAUCCUAAAAGGUUUAGGAUCCCAAUCUACAAACUUAGACCGUAGCAAGAUUGGACAAUGAUCUGAGAAGUUUCUCUCCAAUGUAAGUUGAGUACUUCCAGGCCAUUUACCAAGCCAUUCAGGAGAUACCAAGAAUUUGUCCAGGUUACUCCUAAAAGCACCAUUGGGUCUGAACCAAGUGAAUUUUCUUUCCAACCAUGGUACCUCAACAGCCUCCAAAUCGUCUAUCCAAUCAUUGAACUCUUUUAUGCUAAUAUCCCCUAAUCCCUUUUGACAUGUGCCAAACCUUUACGUUGGGUCUCUAAUGUUGUUGAAAUCACCUAGAAUGCACCAUAGUCCCCAUAGAUUGAAUCUUUCAGCUGCUUUACAUUAUACCAUAAUGUUCUCUUAUUUUGAAUGUCACAUGGUGAAUAGAUGGUAACUAAAUUGAUUUGUUGUGCCUCCUUAAGCCAUUCCCCUACUAAGAGAAUAAAUCCAUUGCCAAUGACUUUCCUUUGUAACUUGAAGGUUUUUUCACUCCACAGACAUAAAAUGCCUCCUGCUGUAUUAGUAGCAGGUUGCAUCUCCCAACUAACUUCAAAAUCUCCCCACAGUGCUUGACACAUGGAUUAGUCAAUUGUUUCUUUCUUUGUCUCCUGAAAAUAGAUCAUGUUUGCAUUCUCCUUCUUGAUCAAUCUUCUAAUUGUUGCCGAUUUUACCCCCCCUCCCUAAUCCUCUGACGUUGUGUGAGACAAUAUUCAUGGAGUAUUGCUUCUAUUUCCCAACCUAUUUGCUUCAUUCAUGUCUCUUUCUACCAUAGACUUUAUUUUUUCAACGAUUUCAUCCUGUUCAAACCCUCCUGUAGCCCCCAGUUGUUUGGCCAUGCUCCAAAUAUUAGUUGCCUCCUAAAUCUGAUGGUUCUCUGAGGUUACGUCGUCACCUUCCUUCUGUGGUACUGAUUCUCUCCCGGGGACAAUGAUGUCAUUAAGAACAUUCCCAACUUGUGCCAUGUCCGGUAGGUGUUGGUUAUGUAGGCUGCUCAUUUCUGUUUCUGUCACUGUAGCAAUGUGUGAGUAGCCCAUUUGUGAUUUCUUAUGGUACCUCCUAUGUCUUGAAUAAACCUGCCAUGUACUAUUAGAAUCCCCUGUUUUAUUUUGUGGACUGAAGCCCAAGUGUUCUAUUUUCGCAUUUGGGGUGUGAAUAGAAAAGCCCAUCCCUUUAUUUAAACAUCCUUCAGCCAUCCAAGUGUCACAUGCUGAUGCUGUUUUUUCAAAUAAAAGUUGUGCCCCUGUCGCGUCACUGCUCUCCCUUUUCUUGGUUGCCAUUUUCAUGUCUUGGUUGCUCCCCUGCUGCAUGGGUGGUGGUCCCGACGUACUGAGACUCCCCCUGUUUGGGUACAACAGCGUCUGGGUAGGUAGACGUUCUCUCUCUACUCUGACGCGCCGUCGGAUCGAUAGUUUUCUGCCUUCUGUCUAUCGUCCGCGGGAUAAUUCCUUUACCCAGUGGAUAGUCGUGCUCGCUUUUACCGCUGGUUAAUGAGAUGAUCUCGUGGUCCUCGUUACCGGCAAUGGGACUGCUGGUGGUCCUACAUGGUUCAGUUCGCGAUUCCGACGCCACCAGGUCAAGCAGCUCACCUUCGUUCACCAUCAUGUCUGUCGUUCUCAGAGUGAGAUUGUCGAGGUAGCUUUCCUCGAAGUUGAUCUCAUUCGACGAUCCCAUGAAGCUACAUCGUCUUCUAUGGCAGUCGAGGGUGUCGCAACCGCAUUCCUCCACUACGCGCACUUUGAAAAUUUCGCCGCCGAUGUGGACGUUAACAAUAUGCUGGAUUGUAGGCCUCCAUGGAGUCUUAAUGAGCACCCUUGCUCUGUCCAGCCUCUAUUUUUCCUCGACAUCAUCGUCCACGUCCACUAUCUCUCCCAUGGCAACCACUAUCUUCUAUAUGUGUUUCGUAUCCCAAGCUAGAAGCGGAAUACCCCAACAUUGAACCUAGGUUUAGUCUGAAUCCUGUGCGUAGACUCGGGCUCCAUUUCUCCAGUGAGUAGAACAUUGAAGCGCCUCCAUCUUUUCCACCAUUCAUCAUUUGUUUUGCUCUAGCGUCAGUAAGGCCAAGUAGCAAAACUAAGUCAUUUCCUAUGUACUUGGGUGUUAUGUCCAAUCCUAUCUCCCACAGUAGGUCGUCCUCCAUUCUUUCGAACAUGGAAGGAUUUUUUAAACGCCCUACCCACACCUCAUUCAGCCAUUUCUUGUCUUCUGGUCCUAUGUCAAGGUGAACCGAGGAUAAUGAAAUUUCGCGGCUUUGGGGUUGGUUGUUGGGAGGCAACCUUUACCCUGGAUUCCUUGUAUUUCUUGUCAGCACCGCCGCGUAUGAAGCUGGAUUUGUUUGGUGGUGUGGUUGUCUGGCUCAAUCAACUUCUUUUUCUUUACUCUUCUCAUGCCCCUGUGGUUUGAUUCCUGAAGCUAUCUUUCUUGGCAUCUCCCUUCCAUACUUUGGAAUGUUAACAUAUAAUUUCAUCUCGCCAAUGACGAUCUUGUCCAACUGCCUUGCUAGGUAGUGAGCGUCGUUCACCCCUUGAAUCUAGCAAAACCGUACCUUCUUCCAUUGUAGUUUCUUCGAUUGGGUAUGAAGAUCAAUGGUGCCACAACUCCUUCUCAGUGAUUUCAUUAGAAAAACGUGUGAAGUAGAAGGAUGAUAUGUCCUUGUGAUCCCUCCAAUUUGAACGAACGUAGUGUUGCUGGUGUCUUUCCCUGUUUCCUGCAUAGGCCCGUCGAAGGUCCUCCCUGAAGCUCACUCUCUCAGCUGCCUAACCUCUAAACCUAUCUCUCUCCCAUCCAGUGUUUCUCUCUCUAGACUUUUUAGGUUCCCAUGAUGCGCUAUAUAUCAAUAUGUCAUCGAAGAAAACCAAAACAAAUUCCCUUUAGUUCAUCUAGUAACUCCUCAAUGACAGGAAUGGGAAACUUGUCAGGGAUAGUCUCCUUAUUUAAAGCCCUGUAGUUAGUGCAAAAUCGCCAACUUCCAUCUUUCUUUUUAACCAAAAUCAUAGGGCUCGAGUAAGGACUGUUGUUAGGCCUUAUAAUUCCAGCCUCAAGCAUCCCACUGACUUGCUUUUCAAUUUCAUUUUUCUGUAGAUAAGGGUAUCUAUAAGGCCUAACAUUGAUUAGAUCAGUUCCUGUUCUGAUAGGGAUGGCAUGAUCGACUGCCUAAGGUGGAGGUAGUCCUUUCCUUUCAGCAAAUACACUAGGAAAUCCAUCCAGUACCCCUUGCACUUGUUUUUUGUUCUACAAUAGAACCUUCAUAUUGCACUUUCAAACCCAGUUGCUGCACUAAUUCUUGAGAAAUAAAGUUGUGGCAAACACCACUAUCAAUCAAAAUCAACACUCUUUUACCCUGAAUCAACCCUUCCAAUUUCAUUGUUUGUGGUUGAGUAAAUCCACCAGUUGAGCAAACGAAUAAGUCCAUCCAUUGGCACUCCACCUCUGUUUCUCCUGUAUUCUCAAGCUCCCCUUCCAAUCUUAUAAUCUCCUCUUCAUUAUUAAUCCAUUCAUCCCCGGCCAAAAUAAGCAACCUGAGGUUUUCUUCAAGGCACUUGUGACUAGCAACAUGGUCCUCCACAAUGAUAACAAAGUUUUGCUUCACAGCAGCGAAGCUACUCCUAGUAGGGCAAGUUUCAGACUCCCCUAUUCCGUGAUCCCGAGCUCGUAGACUCACUCUGAUUUGCAGCCAUUACAUUCGAAGAGCUAUGCGCAUCCCCUCUUAGUGUUCGAUUAUGAUGUUGGGUGUUGUGAAAGGUGUUCGUUACGGAUCCUCCAACACUAUGUAUCCACAUUCCUCCCUUGUGUUGAAAAUGAAACCCAAGACUACGCAACUCGACCACUAGAUUCCCUUCUUUUUUAGCUUCCUCGAAAUCAUCCGUCAACUCCCAUGGAGUUGACAGAUCCUUCGGUUUGCGGGGACGAAUUUUUGUGCGGAUCUCCUUGCAAAGUCCCACCAAAAAAUGUUCUCUCAAUUGCGCUUCCUUUGUACCCGAGACUUGAGCCACCAACACCUCGAAUUACUCAAUGAAUUCAGUCAUGGUCCCCAUUUAGCGCAACGUUGCCAAACGUUCAUAAGUAUCUCCCUUUUCGGUACCACCAUAGCACUUUAAUCAGCAUUGCCUUGAAAAUAGACCAACUUUUCCGCUUCGUCUUAUGCCUCCAAUACUGGAACCGGUGCAAGGUGUUUUCUUCCAUGGUGAUAAAGGCCAAUCUCACUUUUGCGCUCUGUUGGACAUGUUGCACGGCAAAAAACUUCACACACGCGACCCAACCUAAUGGAUUCUCUCCUUCAAACAUUGGCAUUUUCACCCCUUUCGCCCAAUAAUGGCGUGAUGAAUUCAGUAUUGAAUCUGUCUCAGACUCGCUCGCUUCAUCCUCUAAUGUUGAUAAAGGCUCCAAUUCCGUCGCGAACUCCUCAUCCUCCAACCCACUAUUCUGCUCCAUAGAUGCAUUAUUGGCAUCAUUAUACAUGAUGUCUUUCUAUUCCAUGAGCAUCUUCAUCAUCUUGCGCAAAUCUUUAAUGUCGUCACACUGUUUUGACACCUUUGCAAUCACCUCAAUUUGUUUUUUGGACGAUUUCUGUAACUCAAUGGGCAUCGCCUUCAAUUCGCUAGUUGUUGUUUUCAAUGCUGCAGCCGAAGAUUCCAGCGCAAUGAAUCGAGCCUCGUCACGAUCCAAGAUUCUUUCUUCAACAAAUCGGACCAGUUGUUAGGAAUAUUCUCUACUUUACUAAGUACAACUAGAGGUAGAACAGACACACACAAGAACCAACACAAGACAGUACACGCAGAGAUAACGGAUUCACUGUUAUUGAUAGUUCUUUCUUUACACAAGGAAGAACACUCUCUUCCCUUACAACACUGAGACACUUCUCAAGUUCUCUCAAUACAAUCAAUUCCUCCCUUUUUUCCCCUCCAUCUCAAGAAAGCUGCUAUAUAUUCAAAACUACUAACAAACCUGCGAGUAGUUGACAACUGACAGAGUCUAACUAACUCCCAACAACCUAACGGUCACUCCUCAUCUUAUUCUUCCUCCUGUACCAUAUCAACGGCUUAGCUACGGUAGAUGAUUCCUCUUGCCUAACACCCACCUAGUGGGGUUUAGGGAGGGUAGAUGCAUGCAGUCAAGUAGAAUCCUAUUUCCAAGAUUUGAACUGACAGAGUCUAACUAACUCCCAACAACCUAACGGUCACUCCUCAUCUUAUUCUUCCUCCUGUACCAUAUCAACGGCUUAGCUACGGUAGAUGAUUCCUCUUGCCUAACACCCACCUAGUGGGGUUUAGGGAGGGUAGAUGCAUGCAGUCAAGUAGAAUCCUAUUUCCAAGAUUUGAACCUGUGACGUCCAGGUCACAAGGUAAUAGCCUAACAGUUUUGCCAAGGCUCACCCUCUACCACGAAGGUUUUUCUAAAAUAAAAAAUAAAAGGGUAAAUAAACUUUGGGUCCCUGUCAAAUAGGGUGUUUUUGAUUUUAGUCCAUUAAAGUUUCUUGUUUUUGUUCAAGUCUUUUAAAGCUUUAAUCUUUUUAUUUUAGUCUGUUGUCAAGUAAUAGUGAUAAUUGAUGACAUAACAGCGACUAUGGCAGCUCAUUGACUAGCUACAUCACAACGGAGUUUGGCACCGCAGUUCGACGUCAUCAAUUAUUUUGAUCACAUGAAGAUUUACAUAGUUUACUAAAAAAUAAUUACACAUGACUGCCUGGUUAGACUCCUUGAUGACAUGAGAAGUCAAUGAACUCUCAACGUCAUCAUUUAACAUUGUUAUUUGACCACAGAGACCAAAAAGUUAUUGAAGCAAAAAUAAAAAAAGGUAAAACAGUACCCCAAGUAGAAAUUAGAUUUUUAGUUUUGAUUACUGAAGCUCAGUCACCUCCACCAUAUAGUAAGUGCAUGACAUAACAUAACUGUAAACCUCACACCAACUCCGCCUAGCUAAUUUAUGUGAUGAAAUAAAUGUUUUCCUCGUUAUGUAUUUCUCAAGUCAAGGAAAGUACACAAGUGACAGAGUGACAAAACAGCGAGAGUUUUUCCUAACCUGUAACUGUCCACAAAUACCAUCAAGAACUUCUUCAGUCAUUCUCUCAAAGAAAAGAAUUCCCUGCAGACACAACAAUUAUACAUAAGCAUAUGGGCAAUUACCAUCAGAUCGUAACAUGAAAUUAGUUAAAAAAGUUUGGAUAUUAACAAACUUAGCCAUACAAUCAAGUGAAGAAAUCCAUAGAAGAGAAGGGAGAGAAGGUUGAUGACUAAUGGGAUGCACUUAGUGAACCCCAAAUGUGUAUUUACAGUAAUAAUGUGGGCUUAUAACAGGUUCAGUAACACCACAAGUGUCACACAUGUAGAGUGAGAACCCCUUUUUUUUAAUGAGUAUCACUGUACACAUCAGGUCUCAUUUAUACAUGAAAAUAUACAAAGUAGUUUAGGGCACAUUUUUUAAGCUUUUUAGGGGAAAAAAGUGAUUUAAUGUUCAAAAAUGUGAAUGUUUUUAGAGAUUUUUUCAAAACCUAUCAUUAUAGAUUCCUAAAUCCUAAAAUAUUUUUUUUAUAUUCUGAUUUCCUUAAAUGCUUACCCAAACAAGUUAGCAUAUUUCAAAUGUGAUCUUUUUAAGGAAAAAAUCUUGAACAAACACACUCUUAAUAGCACAUGUUGAACAAGACCUCUUGCUGCCUAGGUUCAAAAGGUUUGGAUGAAGAAAAAGCAAACAACAAGAAAAUUAGACAAGAGUUUUUUUUUGAACUGCAAAGAUAAUUUAUAUUUAUAAUUAAAAGUACCAGUGGUACUACAGGUUACAAUGAAGAAUUGACUUCUGAAAUUUAGCCAUACAGACAACCAUCACAAUACAACACACAAAACCUGCCCUUCUUAGUAGCAUUAGAUAAAUGCUAAAGACAUUGCUGAGGACCACUGGGAAAAAGGGACAGUGAAAUCCUUUUCCCACCCCUUCAGCCAGGUCCACAUAACGAAAAGAAUGCUAUCUGCCAAUUUAGAGAUAUCGAAGGAUUGAUUCUGAAAGAUGAUAUCAUUCCUGAGUUUUCAGAUUGAGUUUGUAGCUGCCAACCACCAGAUUUUCCAUCUUCUAGCAAUAGCCUGUGUUCCUGCAGUAGGUGAAUGUUGGAGAAAAUUAUCCAUUGGUCUACAAUGGAUGAUUCUGUCUUCCUUCACCCAGGAUAAGAAUUCCCACCACAGGGGCUGAAUUUUGUCACAAGUGAAGAACAAAUGGGAAGCAGACUCAGGUUUGCUGUGACAGAAAGGGCAUAAGUCACUGUUAGUUUGAAUUUGCCUCUUCGCUAGGUUAUCCUUAGUAGGAAGUCUAUCCCAUAACAACCUCCAGGCAAAGGACAAGGCUCUCGGGGGGAUUUUAAUAUCCCAUAGUUUCUGGAAUGCCAAGUGCUGGACUUCAGAAGCCUGCUCCUCUUUUAAAACUUGAUAGGCAGAUUUAGUAGAAAAGAUUCCAUUAAUGUCAGCUCUCCAAACCCAGGUGUCAUUCAAGUUGCUAUUUAACCUGAUCGUUGAAAUUUGAUCAAUGAAAUUGGAAGCAAUUCCCAUCUAAUCAAACAGGUUUAUUCUCCAUAGAAGAUUCCAUUCCCACCCAUUUUCAGAGAAGGAUCCCAUAUCAGCCACUCUGUGAUUUCUUUGAGAGGAAAUUGAAUAUAAAUCUGGAAAUUGAUCUUUGAGGGGAAUUCCAUCCUCAGCCCAAGCAUCUUCCCAGAACAGGAUUUGGUCACCCCUGCCCAUCUUCCAGCAGAAUUGUUUAGAAGCAGCAUUCAUGCUUUUGAUGUUGAUUAAGUACCUUUAGGUCAGCCCACCAGGUAGAAAAAUGAUGUUUUUGAGGCCCCUGAUCCAAUCCUCUCCACCCUUUAUAUUUAGAGAUCAAAAUCCUAUUUCACAGCUGGUGUGGUUGGUGAAACAUCAGCCAUUUCCACUUGAUUAGCAAAGAAUUAUUUAGAAUUCUAAGAUCUUUGAUCCCCAAAUCUCCCACAUCUCUAGAAACACAGCAUUGUGACCAAGAUACCCAUGCAAUCUUCUUUCCUUCUUGGUUACCUCCCCACAGAAAUUGUCUUUGAAUGGAAGAUAACCUAUUAGUCACUGUUUUAGGGGCCCUGAAAAAAGAUAAGUAGAACAAAGGUAAUGCUGUUAAGACAGCAUUAAUAAGAGUGAGUCUACCAGCCAUGGAUAUAUUUCUCUUAUUCCACCUGUUCAGCCUAUUCUCAAAUUUCCUAAUUAUAGGAUCCCACACCACCUUUCUUUUGGGAUUGACACCAAUCGGAAGUCCUAAAUAACAGAAAGGAAAUUGCAGCAAAGCACAGUUGAGAUAACCUCCUGAGAAUAACCUUCACAGUUUUGACAUUUGCCAUAGAUGCUUCUCCAAAGAAUAUCGUAUCAUCAGCGUAUUGAAGAACAUCCGCAGGCACCUUAUUGCUCCCCACCAAAAAGCUUAAAAAGCAUUGAUUUGAUACUGUUUCCCUCAUGAGACCUGUCAAGCCUUUAGCCACUAAAUCAAAUAAAAGAAGAGCCAAAGGAUCCACUUGUCUAAACCCUCUUUGAGGUUUGAAUUCAGCAGUAGGGCUGCCAUUCACAAGGACAGACAGAAGCUGAAGUGAGACAACCCCUGAUCCACCUUAUCCACCUCUCAUGGAAACCCAUUCUUCUGAGCAUAUAGAGAAGAAAUUGCCAAGAAACAGAAUCAUAGGCCUUCUCAAAGUCCACUUUGAAAACCAUGCAGGAUCUCUUAGACCUCCUAGCCUCCUCAACCACUUCAUUAGCCACCAAGACUCCAUGCAGCAGCUGUCUCCCUUUAACAAAUGCUGACUGCCUUUCAUCAAUAAGCUGAGGCAUGAUCUUUCUCAUCCUAUUAGCCAGCAUUUUAGCAAUAACUUUAUAUAUGCAGCCUAUGAGGGAAAUAGGCCUAAAGUCACUAAUAACCUGGGGAUCCUUUAUCUUAGGUAUAAGAGCAAACUGACUGAAUAAAUUAGACAAGAGUGACUUGGGCAUUUUAUGUUACACUUUAUAGUUCUAGCUGAGCCUGACUCGAGAUCAAACUGACUGAAUAAAUUUAAAAUCAGGUUUUCUAAAGGUAAAAAUUUAAUAAGUAAAAACUGAUUUUGAUGUUUAAAAUAUGAGCACAAGGUUUUUCAAAAAGAAAUUUCGCAAAAACUAAAUGAGGGAAAAGGAAUCAAUUUCCACAUUGCUGGAAUCAAUUCCAACGCAAAGGAAUCAAUUAAUAAAUAAAGGAAUCCAUUUUUGAGCAAAGAUUUCUCACAAGGAAUCGACUCCCAUUUGGGAGGAAUCAAUUCCCAACGGAUAUCAGCAAAUUUUGAAAUUAAGAGUGGGAAAAUCUUUUUCCGAUUAUCUUUUUAUCAGAAGCUCACAUCCUGUGGGCCUGAUAAAAUCAUUUUCGCUGUACAAAAAAAUCGCCAUCAAUCUGAUUGUCCCAAUGACCACCUCCGUUUGAGGUAGGACCGCCAACACCAGAAGCAUUUCACACACUACUCACGCAACUAGCAAAACAUAUUCUCUUACAAGUCUCAAUCAUCUCAAAGUAUCAUCCUUUAUCUUUAUUUAUAUAUUUGACAUGCUUAAUUGUCUCUCUUUCUGCCUUAAAUGGAGAAAGUGGAUUUCUGCUUGUCUUCACUCAGCUACUAUCUCAAUUUUAGUAAAUGGGAGCCCUACAAAGGAACUAGUCCCCUCUAGAGGACUGAGACAAGGAGACCCUUUGACUCCUAUGCUUUUUAAUAUAGUGGCUGAGGGCCUUACUGGCAUGAUGAGAGAGGCUUUGAAUAAAAACCUAUAUAGAAGCUUCUUGGUUGGGAAGCAAAAUGUGCCUAUAAACAUAUUGCAAUAUGCUGACGACACAGUCUUUGUUGGAGAGGCUUCUUGGGAUAAUAUUCUUGUGUUGAAGUCCAUGCUUAGGGGCUUUGAAAUGGUUUCGGGGAUUAAUUAUGCAAAAAGCCAGUUUGGGGUUGUCGGGUUUCAGACCAAUUGGGCUCAUGAAGCAGCCCAAUUCCUGAACUGUAGACAGUUGGACAUCCCUUUCCAUUACUUGGGCAUGCCUAUUGCUGUUAAAGCCUCCAGCAGGAUGGUUUGGGAGCCUUUGAUCAACAAGUUUGAAGCUAAGCUCUCAAAGUGGAAUCAGAAAAUUCUAUCUAUGGGUGGCAAGGUCACCUUGAUAAAAUCUGUCCUGAAUGCACUUCCUAUAUAUCUUUUAUCUUUCUUCAAGAUUCCUCAAAGAAUAGUAGAUAAACUGGUGUCUCUUCAAAGGAAAUUCAUGUGGGGGGGAAAUCAACACCAUAACAGAAUUUCUUGGGUAAAGUGGGCUGACAUAUGUACUCCGAAGAUUGAUGGGGGAUUGGGGAUCAAAGACCUAUCCAAAUUCAAUGCAGCCUUAAGGGGAAGAUGGAUCUGGGACUUAGCUUCCAAUCACAAGCAGCUUUGGGCCAGACUUCUAACCUCCAAAUAUGGAGGAUUGUCAGAUUUGCAGAAUGGUAGAGAUAAAGGUUGGCACUCCCAUUGGUGGAAGGACCUUAGAAAGCUUUAUCAUCAGCUAGAUUUUCACAUUAUCCACCAGAAUAUGACCUGGAGGGUUGGAUGUGGGGAUAAGGUAAGGUUCUGGCAAGAUUCAUGGCUAGGACAGGGAUGCAGCCUUCAGCAGAAAUACAAUCAACUAUUCUUGAUUAGCAGAUAGCAAAACCUUCCCAUCUCCAAGAUGGGGAAGUUUUCUCAGAAUACAUGGAGCUGGGAUCUUAAAUGGAGAAGGAACCUUUUCGACCAUGAGAAUGAGCAAGCAAUAGCUUUCAUGGAUGAUAUAUCUGCUUUUUCUAUUCAUCAGCAGCUGCAGGAUACUAUAGUGUGGAAAGCUGACCCUACUGGGAUUUAUUCUACCAAGUCAGCAUAUAGGCUCUUGAUACCUACCAAUAGCCCUGGUCAGCACAGUAGGAAUUUCCAGAUUCUAAGGAAGCUUAAAAUCUCCCCAAGGGCUGAGAUGUUCUCAUGGAGGUUGUUUAGGGAUAGACUCCCUACCAGGGCUAAUUUGCUCAGGAGAAAUAUGGCUCUACAGGAUACUAUGUGUCCUCUUUGUGAAAAUCACCAGGAGGAGGCUGGCCAUCUCUUUUUUCAUUGCAGAAUGACUAUAGGGCUGUGGUGGGAAUCCAUGAGUUGGACCCGGAUUACAGGAGCUUUUUCAGAUGACCCAGCUAGACAUUUUAUUCAAUUCUGUGAUGGUUUUGGGGCACAGAGGAAUCACAGUAGGUGGUGUGUAUGGUGGAUUGCUCUAACUAUUACUAUUUGGCAGCAUAGGAAUUCCCUCCUGUUUAAGGGCACCCCAUUUGAACCUCCCAAAGUGAUGGUUGAUGCUUUAUUUCAUGCUUGGUCUUGGCUUAAAGCUAGAGAGAAAGGUUUCAAUAUUCCAUUUAACCAUUGGUCUACCAAACUUCCGGAGUCCUUUGGUUAAGUUGUAAUAUCUCCUUUCGUGGUGGGUUUUUUGUUGGGUUUUGUUUUGGAAGGUGGCACCUUGAGUGCCUUGUAUUUGUUAUACUCAGUACUUCUGGUACUGUUAUGUUUCUAUAUUAAUAAUACUAUACUUUUGCCUUCCAAAAAAAAAUUGCCUCUCUUUCAAUCUACCAUCUUUUAUCUCUAUCUCUAAAUUGAAUUUUAAUCUUGCUUUUUUAUAAAAAAAAAUUGUCAAUAGUUAAAAAUAACCUUGUAAAAAAUUUUAAAAAUCUAAAAUAUAAUUUGUAUAAAAAAAUAUUUAUUUCUUAUGAAUUUUAAUUACAAUAUAUUCAUAAAAUGUUUAUUUAUUAUGAAUUUUAAUAUAUAGAUAUAAAUGUUUAUUCUGUAUUAUGCACAGACUAAAAUACUAGUUGCUUUAGUUAUCCAAGUCGAAAAACAUACUUGUAGAUGGUCAAAUUCAUGCUGAAAUAUUCGUGCAGGAAGGUCAGACAAGUUGACUGAAAACCUUGUUCCAUUGAUAUCACGUGCAUCAAUCUUCACAGAUUCUGGUCGCUGAACCACAAUGAUGAGGAGACACAUAAUUAAGUAAAGGAGUAAAUAAUUAUGAAACAAAUGACAAGAGGGCGAUGUUCCUGCAGUUGAGUUGAGCACAUGUUGAAAGCAACAAUAAAGAAAAACUUUAGCUACAUACACAGAAGUCAUAACUUUUGGGUAUACUAAAACAUAAUAAUAAAGUUGAGCUCACAACAAUGGUAAAAGGGAAAACCAAGCACUCUGCAACACAUUUCCAUUGAAGCUCAUCACGAUAAACACUCAAGUAUAACCAAUGUAACAAUUCCUUAGAAGAGUGCGGUUCUGCUAAAUAUUUGUUUCUUGCAGAAUACAGAGUUUCUUCUUUCUGCCUUCUAACUUAGUAGUUUGAAAAAAGUAGUCAAACAUUAAGAUUCUACUUAAAUGAAAAUUAGGAAGAGGAGUAAAAAUUGCUGGUCAUGGGAAUGUAAGACAGAUUGUCACAUCCUACAAAAUCCAUAAAGAUAGCAUAAAUAAUAAAAAUAAUAUUAAAAUAUGGCAAACCUAUGAAACCUGGACACAGUGGCUGACAGAGGUGUUUAGGUGUCCGACACAACCUCAACACCGACACGCAACAAACACGUUUUUGCAGUGUCCAAAUUUUGUUUUUCAGCUUCAACAUGGCCCAUUUAGCUUGACACGCACCAGACACACCCCUUGUUUUUUUAUCAAAAAUUUAAAAAAUCAGCUUAAAGAUUAACUUAUCAUGUUGACAGCUGUAUGUCUAUAUUAAGAAUUAAUUAGACAGCUGGAGGUUUAUUUUUGGAAUUAAUUUUCUAGAAGAUUGAACAAUUAGGAUCAAGAUCAGAUUAUUCCGAUUUGAUAUGAUUUGAUUAUUAUUUUGGGUCAGAAUCAAAUCUCUCUGAUUUGAUCUUAUCCCUUUUUAUUUACUUUCCUUUCUGCAUUUAUUAUGUAAUUGGCAGCCUUGCCUAUAUAUGUAAAUCUUUUAUUCCUGAAUAAUAUACAACAAUUAUUCUUCCUCUCCUAUUGUUUUUUCUCCCCAGCAGUCCCUAAAAUCACAUGGUAUCAGAGUUUCGGCUCUGAUCUUGUGGUAUCCCGCCAUGGAAAAAAACGUUGCGAUUGGAGAAAAUUCCUCCACCACUUCUACGAAUUCUGGUGGUAAUGAAACUGUAUCAUCCCCUAUCAUAUUUGAUUCUCUGUCCAUGGCUACCAAUUUACAGCUUGUGAUUCAAAAGCUGAAUGGUAAAAAUUAUGUUGAAUGGGCUCAAUCCGUGGAACUGAUCCUUGAUGGCAAGGGAAAGUUGGGCUACCUGACAGGGGAUACCUAUCAACCAGGAGUGACCGACCCCUCUCUCCCAAGAUGAAAGUAAGAAAAUUCACUAAUCAUCGCAUGGCUGAUCAACUCAAUGGACUCUUCCAUUGGGAAGUCAUACUUAUUCCUCCCAACUGCGAAAGAUGUGUGGGAGGCCGUCCGCAAUUACUAUUCUGAUCUAGAAAACUCUUCUCAGAUUUAUGAGCUUGAGACUCAGUUGUGGCAGUCCAAACAAGGAGACAAGGAUGUCACAACCUUUUACAAUAUCAUGGUUACUCUCUGGCAAGAGCUGGACCAGUGCUAUGAGGAUGAUUGGGAAAAUCCCAAUGAUGCAACCAAGUUCAAGAAGAGAGAAGAGAAUGAUAGAGUUUACAUGUUUUUAGCAGACUUAAAUCAAGAACUGGAUGAGGUGCGUGGCAGAAUUUUGGGCAGAAAACCACUGUCAUCAAUGCGAGAAGUGUUCUCUGAAGUUAGGAGGGAUGAAUCCAGGAGGAAAAUAACUCUAACGGUACAAGGACGCAAGAAGCUAAAAAUUCAGCCCUGGUUGCAAGAGGACACGAACCAGAAGGAGAAAUAAAGAAGCAACCUUGGUGUGAUCAUUGUAGAAGACCAUGGCACACGAAGGAAACCUGCUAGAAACUCCAUGGAAAACCACCCAACUCAAAAAAGAAACCAACUGGACAGGGUCGGGCUUUCCAAACCUCAAAUGCUGAAAAUGUGGAGCAAAAAGGCAACUUCGAGUCAUCUCUCUUCACUAAGGAACAACUAGAGCACCUGUAUAAACUUUUUACCACAAAAAUGUCAGUGACUCCAUCCUCUUCUUUGGCUCAAAAAUGUAUCUCUUUCUCUGCUACUCUCCUUAGUUCCAAACCUGAUUCCAAAGCUCCAUGGAUCAUCGAUUCUGGAGCCUCUGACCAUAUGACAAACUGUUCAAAAUUGUUUUGCACAUAUAGUCCUUGUGCAGGUCACAAAAAGUCAAAAUAGCUAAUGGUACCUUUUAUACUAUAGCCGGUGUUGGUUCUAUUCCUGUAUCUAAAACUUUAACCCUUCACAAUGUCCUUCAUGUUUCAAAUUUAUCAUGUAAUUUGUUGUCUAUAAGUAAAUUAACACAGGACUUAAAUUAAUGAUUGGCAGUUCUAAAGAGGUUGAUGGUCUCUAUCUCUUUGAAGAUAAGUCUGGUCCUAAGGAGAAACUCCAAAAAAAUUGUCUCAAUUCAAUUCUGAUUCAUGAAGAUGAAGAAAUAAUGCUAUGGCAUUAUCGGCUAGGUCACCCCAAUUUUUAGUAUUUGAAGCAUUUAUUUCCUGACCUCUUUAAAAAUAAAAACCCAAAUUUAUUUUCUUGUGAAAUUUGUCAAUUUGCAAAACAUCAUCGUUCCUCUUAUUCCCCUAAGGAUUAUAAACAAUCUAGUCCAUUCACCUUAAUUCAUAGUGACGUUUGGGGACCUUGUCGGAACCCUACACCAAAUGGAAAAAGAUGGUUUAUAACCUUCAUAGAUGAUCAUACUCGAAUAACAUGGGUUUACUUGAUGAAAAUAAAAUCUGAGGUUGAAAGCAUAUUCAAAACUUUUUUUCAAAUGAUACAAACACAAUUUCAAGUGAAAAUAAAAGUUUUCCGUACUGACAAUGGAAGGGAAUAUUUUAACAAGCACUUAAGCAAGUUCUUUCUUGAAAAUGGCAUAAUUCAUCAAAGCUCUUGUGUUGACACUCCACAACAAAAUGGAGUGGCAGAACGGAAAAAUAGACACCUUCUUGAAGUAGCUAGGGCAUUAUUGUUUCAAAAUAAAGCACCAAAAUAUCUUUGGGGUGAAGCAAUUCUCACUGGAACAAAUUUUAUAAAUAGAAUGCCUAGCAAAAUCUUGAAUUUCAGAAUUCUAUUAUAUGUUUUCACAAGUGUUUUUCCAAAUAACAGGCUCUCGUGUACUCUACCUCUUAAAAUAUUUGGGUGCACUAUUUUUGUACAUAUUCAUGAACCGAACCAAGGGAAACUUGAGCCUAGAGCAAAAAAAUGUGUUUUUGUUGGCUAUGCUCCCAACCAAAAGGGAUACAAAUGUUUUGAUCCCACUUCCAAGAAAACCUUUGUUACUAUGAAUGUUACCUUUUUUGAGAAAACUCCUUUUUUUUAGUGAUCGUCUAAGGGGGGGAGACAAGAGGAAGAUGUUCAAUAUUUUCAAACACAAAAUUUAGAUUCUUAGAAAGUUUGGAUUUUUUGGAAAAUUUAGAAGAGACAAACAUUGGAAAAGCAAAAAAUUUGGGUGAAUCAAACCACUCAAGUCAAGACAGCCAUGAAAAUGAUAUUUCAGAAACUGUAUUGUCAAAACCAGAAGUUGAAAAUGAGACAAUUAGAGUUUGUAACAAAGGUAUCCAACCCUUUGACCGUGUUUACUUAAGGAAAAAAAGACCUCAAAGAAUAGAACCAAAUGAUUCUCGAAAUUGCCAAUCAUCCGAGGAUCCAUCAGGUAAGAAUCCUUCUAGUUUUGUUCAACCCAUUCAAAAUACUGUGAAAUCUGAAUCUGUUCUUACUGUUCCUGAUCUUGUUGAACCUAUUUUUGACAAUUCUGACCUUCCUAUUUCUGUUAGAAAAGGUGUAAGGUCCUGUACAAAACAUCCUAUUUCUAAUUUUAUAUCUUAUGAAAAAUUGUCUCCUACCUUUAGAGCUUUUACUUGUGAACUGAAAAAAAUAGAAAUACCAAGAGAUAUACAGGAAGCUCUAAGGGUUCCUAAGUAGAAGGAAGUAUCUUGGAGGAGAUAAGAGCUCUAGAAAAAAAUCAGACUUGGAAAGUGGUGGACCUACCAAGAGAAAAAACAACCGUGGGAUGCAAAUGGGUGUUUACUAUCAAAUAUAACGCAAAUGGGUCUGUUGAGAGGUACAAGGCCAGGCUAGUUGCCAAAGGCUUCAUACAAACCUAUGGUAUUGAUUACUCAGAAAUUUUUGCUCCUGUUGCAAAACAUAACACCAUUAGAGUCCUCUUAUCAUUGGCUGCAAAUUUAGAUUGGCCAUUACAACAACUUGACGUAAAGAAUGUCUUUUUAAAUAGGGACUUAGAGGAGGAAGUCUACAUGGACUCACCUCUUGGUUUUGAAUCUCAGUUCAAUCAAAAGAUUUGCAAGCUUCAAAAGUCUCUCUAUGGCUUGAAACAGUCACCUAGAGCAUGGUUUGAGAGAUUUGCCCAGUUUAUUAAGAAGCUGGGAUAUUCUUAGUGUCAGAGUGAUCACACCAUGUUUGUGAAACACUCUUCUGAAGGAAAGAUGGCAGCAUUAAUUGUCUAUGUAGAUGAUAUUGUAAUUACUGGGGAUGAUUAUAGAGAAAUAAAUAAUUUGAAGACAUCUCUUGCAGGUGAAUUUGAGAUUAAAGACCUUGAAUCCCUAAAAUAUUUUUUGGAAAUGGAGGUUGCAAGAUCAAAAAAGGGGAUUGUGGUGUCUCAACAGAAGUAUAUUAUGGACCUACUCAAAAAAACUGGGAUGAUGGGUUGUAGGCCAGCAAAUACUCCAAUAGACCCCAACCACAAACUUCGGAGUGAAGGCAAAAGAGACCCUGUAGACACAACCCGAUAUCAGAGAUUAGUGGGGAGGUUAAUUUACCUAUCCCAUACCCGUCCAGAUAUAGCCUUUACAGUCAGUUUAGUGAGUCAAUUCAUGCAAUCACCACACGAAGAACAUUUGGUACCUUAAAAAUACUCCAUGCAGAGGAUUGUUUUUCAAAAAAACUGGACAGCAAACUAUUGAAGUAUUCACAGAUGCAGACUGGGCAAGAUCUAUUACUGAUCAGAAAUCAACAUCUAGUUACUGCACAUUUGUUUGGGGAAACUUGGUUACUUGGAGGAGCAAAAAACAAGAUGUUGUGGCCAUGAGCAGUGCCGAGGCUGAGUAUAGGGCAAUGGGCCCAAGGUGUUUGUGAGAUUUUAUGGCUUAAAAGGAUUCUAGAAGAAUUGCAGCUUCUUAUGACUCUUCCAAUGAAAUUGUAUUGUGAUAACAAGGCUGCAGUCAGCAUCUCCCAGAACCCUGUUCAACAUGACCGAACCAAGCAUGUUGAAAUUGAUAAACAUUUCAUAAAGGAGAAGAUGGACGCUGACCUAAUUUGCAUGCCUUUUGUUCCUUCUUCAUAGCAAGUUGCUGACAUUCUUACAAAAAGAUUGUUUAGGCCCAACUUUGAGUUUCUUUUAAGCAAGUUGGAUAUCUAUGCACCAACUUGAGGGGGGUGUUGACAGUUGUAUGUCUAUAUUAUGAAUUAAUUAGACAGCUGGACGUUUAUUUUUGGAAUUAAUUUUCUAGAAGUAACAAAUGUUAGGUCCUCUGUCCUAUGAGGUGUCAUCUUAUUUCUUUUUAUAUUGAAUGAAUGAAAGAGUUGACAUGGUUGCCUAAAUAGCUUUAAAGACAAUCUUUUGAAGUAUUGGAUCAACAUCAAUGUUUCUCUUGACUUUCAUUAAACACUAAAGGUAAAGGGACAGACUUUAUCUUUGACUUCUCUACUCUUAAUGUAGUCUCAUUGUCCAUCUUUUUAAACUAUGCAAGUCUUGAAAGAGCUAUCUUUUGACAAACUCUAAUUCCACUUCUUAUCGUUUUUAACUAGUGUGUCUUUACUCAAGUGCAAGACAUAAUAAAAUUUACUUCACAUGUAUUACAUUUGAUUUCAAAAUUUUAACCGCAAUCCAUCUUAAUUUUAUUACAUAAUUCCAUGGAGUUAUGGUGCCAUCAACUUGUUCUUUAGCUUGACCAGAAGUACUUAUCUCUAUAAUAAUUUCAUAUGAAUGUCUUUUAGAAUUUAAUUUAAUACUAUAAAAAAUUUGGUAAUAUCAUAAAAUUACAAAACUGGAAAACUAUAGCCAAUAUCUAAAAAACAUAAAUAAAGAAACAUGAUACAAAAUAUAGAAUAAAGAAUAGUAGAGAAACUUGUAAUUUUCAUUUUCACUGUUAUAGAAACCAGGUAGUCUCAACUUCCAAGUUCCUCCAGUGAUAUUUUAACAAACAUAUUCUCCUCAAAUGCAUAAUGAAUUUAAGGGUAAUAAAACCUAAGGCCUCAUAGAAUUAAUGAAUUCUAGAUAAUUAAAAACAACCAAAGAAAAAAACAAAGUAAACAGAGAUAUGCGAAUUCAGAAAAUAAUAGAAAUCAAAAACAAAAACAAAAAAGAAACAAAAAAACAAAGCAUUGAGAAAACUGGGAACUAGAGACACAAGACAAAAGGAGUGCAAACCAGAAAAGCAAGACAAACAAACGCAAACCAGAGAUGCCGACAAACGGAUGAAGGCAGGUUACUCAGUAUACUGAAUUCUACUGAAAAUGAAAACAUUUGUUGGUUAUACAACACUGAUGCAGAGAACAAUCUUAUAUGAAUAACUAAGGAAGCUACCCUCAUAGGACUCAGUCCCUUACAAAAGAGUCUCUCAGCUUUCCAAAAACAACUCAAAGAAUGCAUGAUGCCUUUCCUCCACCAACUAAAAUGUAACUCAACAAACAGAACCAGAGGAACCAACCGCACACUCAGCCAGCCUGCAGUAGCAUUGAACCAGAUAAAGACAGAGCACUGCCACAUUAGAGAAGACAAGGAACACUAGAACAGAUGGGAAAUACAAGCGCAGAAGAAGGAUGCUGGAGAACAUGUUUUGUUCAUAGGGAAAUGCAGAAAAUAGGGUUGGGAGAGCCGAAAAUGGACUUUGGGUUCCACUGGUUUUUUGGUCAGGUUUAGGGAAUCACAUGAUACCACCAUUUUUAUUUGUAAUCAUGCCAAUCCUAGACUACCUCACCAAAUGUUCCAGAACAUGAUUUCAUUCAGACCACUAAAAAUGGCAGAAUCAUGCAAUCUUACAAAAUAACAUGAUUGUAUGAUACAAGGAACUCAGCAUUCAGCAAGAACCAAAUAGGUGGAAGAAAAAAAUCAAUAUUUAGCAAACCUUGAAGUAUGGUUAUGCUAAAAAGGCUGGUUAGAUACUUCAAUCUUUUAGUUGCACCUUACAUUUAACAAGGGAUUUGUGUGUUUCAGACCUUUACAUCAGCAUUGAUGCCUGGGAAAGAUAGGCAACCUUCAUUAAAUAGUGUCAGUUUCUUUGAGUAUUGGCUAACUCUUGGGUUUACAAGAACAAUUUCCUCUCCUUCACCACGCUCACCUACUGGAUUGAACACCAUAAGUUGAACAUUAAUUCCUAAUUGGGGUGCUGAGAGACCAAUACCAUCAGUUCUGUGGAAAAUGAAGCCAGCCAAUAUUGUUAACACUUCAGUAAAUUGCAAAGAUGUUAUUUCAAUUACAAUAUUGAUAAUAUUAAUGCAUCCAUUCAUAUAACUUAUUUUAUAUUCAAUAUAAUUUAAAAUAUAUUGCAUGCCUACUUCUAAAUCAAACGGCCUUUUCUAUGAUCUUAGUGUAGGGUUGUUUUAGCCAAAAGUCUACUUCUACUUCUACUUCGUACCCCAUUGCCCAGAGGCUCUUCGCUAUGCGAAGAUAUGGGGGAGGGAUGUUGUACGCAGCCUUACCCUUGCAUAUGCAAAGAGGCUGUUUCCGGAUUCGAACCCAUGACCAACAAGUCACCAAGGCACAACUUUACCGCUGCACCAGGGCUCGCCCUCUUGUUUUAGCCAAAAGUACUAAAACAAAAUACAUUGUUUGGAAUCAGCAAACUUCCCUAGUGCCCUCAAAUUUCAAAUAUGGUUGAUAUUGCUUACAAAAGAACCACUCUUGUAUUGUAAGAAAACAUUUAUUGAAAAAUGCUUAUAUUCAGGUUUAUGAUCAGUUUUUAUUUGUGUUAGCUUAUACUGUAGGGUUGUUUUAGCCAAAAGUCCUAAAACAAAAUAGUGUUUUGAAUCAGCAAACUGCCCUAAUGCCCUCAAAUUUUAAAUAUGGUCGAUAUUGCUUACAUAAAGACCACUCUUGUAUUGUAAGACAACAUUUAUUGAAAUAUACUUAUAGUCUGGUUUAGGAUAAGUUUUAAUUUGGAUUAGCUUAUACCGUAUUCAAAAAUCAAAAUAGCUUAUAAUCAAAAUGUUCACAACGCACUAAAACCCAAAAAUUCAAUAAAUGGCACGAUCUCACUAGGAGUCAGAACUAAUAAAAUGAACAGAGAGGUGAACCAACUAUGUGUUCUAGUACAAAAAUUGUAUAUUCCACAUUUCAUUAAUAAUUCAAUUCCAUUACAAAAAAAAGCACAACAAAAGUUCACCAUAAUUUUACUCAACUAAAGCAAACAUAUAGAUAACACUUCGACACGGAGAAAGCUUACUUGUACAUUACAUCAAACAUUUCGUGGACAAGCUUCUUCAGACUAUCAUCGAAGGCAACUAUGCGCUUAUUCCUGGCCCUCAAUCUCGGGUCGGGAUACUCCACAAUUUUCAGAGGCUGCGCAAAUUCAAAAUCGCCAGCUUCAAACACACACAGAGAGAUUAGGGUAGGAGGUUUGAGAAAAAAAGCGAUAGGGUUCAAUCGGUGGAAUAACUUACGAGAAGCCACUAGGUCUUGGGCAGUUGAGAAACUGGGCUUGGCCAUGGCGCGUGGAGGAGCGGUUCGAGGAGGGUUUACGGAGAGAGUCCGGUUCAGCAAGGAGGAAUGGUUGAAGCAGCGGUUCGAAAUGGCGAGAAGCGCUGAACCGCGAUGAAGAUGAGGGUGGGUUGAGUGGAGGCACCUCAGUGAAGCCAUGGCCACAAAGUGAGGAGUGUCACUCGGAUUAUUGUAUGGAGAUUAAUUUGUCCGCGGUCUAGACUUGGACUUUGAUUCUUUAUAUACUAACUUCAAGUUGGAAAAUAUUUUUUAUAAUUUAAAAUAUAAAGUAAAUAUUUUUUUUCAAAACAGUUUUUUAUUUGUUAACUUGGAAACUUUCCACAAUGGAGAUAUAUUUUUUUAUCUUCAGUUUUCUCCUGUUUCAGGUGUCACACAUUGUAGAUAGCUAUGGUUCUUUCUUAAUAUAUGCUACAUGAGUCAUUCAAAUCUUAUUCUUAUUAUUAUUAAAUUUUAAUUUAUAUUUAUAUAUUAUUAUUAUUAUAUGCAUGUAUUCCAUACCAUUUAAACAUUUUCCUACGACUUAUUUAUUGGUAUGAUAUGACAAUAAAAUAAAUUUCUAUCGAUAGCAAAAUAAUUUUUCUUAAAAAUGUGUAUAUAUAUAUAUUCUUUAAAUUUAAUUAUCGAUGGAUACUGUAUAAAAAUAUUCCUAUAAAUCUUAUUUAAAUUAAAAUACAUUUUUCUUUAACAUAUAUUCUUUAAAAAAAAGAGUGAAUAGCAACUUGGAUGACAACCAAACACUUGUCAUAUAAAAACUUGAAAUAUUACAUGUAGAUAGAUAAAUAAAUAAAAAAUCUGUGUAAAAAAAUAAUUUAAAAAAUGGUUCGGAAGAUGUGUGAGGUUAGCAGGUGAAAACAUACAUGGACAUAAAAAGACAAUUAAGAAUUACAUUGUCCAUUGCUCAAGAUUAAAGUAAACUUCAUAAAUUAAUAAUAUGUUAAUCUAUAUUAGACAUUUUAGUUUCAUUUCAUUCAUUCUUUAAGAUAUUUUAUAUUAGUUUAAUAAUAAUAAUAAUAAUAAUAAUAAAAGUACUUAUCAAAAUAAAUUUUAUAUAUAUAUAUAUAUAUAAAGUUUAAAAUACUCGAGCCUGACACGUGUAUCCUGUAGUUGACAAAAUUGGAAUUUUGAAAAACUUGCAAGAUUGACACGUGUUUUGUGUUUUGCUUAUUUCCAUUUUUCUCUCUCCCGUGGAGUCUGGAAAGCUUUCCAAGUGUUUUGCUUUUUUCCAUGUCUCUCGCUCCGGUGGAGUUUGGAAGUGUGCAUUCCCAAGCCUUUUUGCUUUCUAUUUUAUCUUUCCAUUUCUCUCUCUCCCGUGCUUUCUAGAGCUGGUGCUCUGGGAGGAGUAGCGAUUCGGCGGUUGAAGAUGCGAAGGAAGGCACCACACUAAGUAAGGUUGCGUGAAUGGAAAGCAUUUUAGAGGUUGUUUCCUUUUUGUAGCAUUUUGGUGUUUUUUGUCUCUUUAUUUUGACCUAUUUACAAAAUUCGUUGUUUUGUGCUUUGUUCUGUGUUCAGAGUGUCAUGGGGGCACAAAAAAAGUUUUAUUUUUGUUGAUAGAGGGUUUUACUCGAUUGAAACGUCGCUGCUUCUGCUCGCUCUUAAGGUGAUAAUUUAUUCUUUUUUCUAUAUAUGUUGAGAUCUUAUAGAAGAGGCAGUGUGGUAUAGUCUUAUUAUUAAUACACAGAAGAGGCUGUGUGGUAGUCCUGUAAUUUUGACAUGGGUUGAAUUCGAUCUUUUUGUGAUGAUGAGCAGGACCCAACUGAGCAUACUGCUAUUGACAACUUAAUGGUUCAACAGCUUGAUGGAACUGUUAACGAAUGAGGUUGGUGCAAGCAAAAGGUGCUUAGCUGGUGGAACUGUUAUUCCACGUUACCACGGGUUUGAAUAAUCAUUUUGUUUGUGAAUGCAUGUUAGGAUUUCCUUUUAUUUUUUUCCAAUUAUAUAGGUAACCCUUAAAUUUUCCCUUCAGUUUAUGCAUGUUUGGAUUUCCUUUUAUUUUUUCCAAUUAUAUAGGUAACCCUUAAAUUUUCCCUUCAGUUUUUUGAGUUUAUAUAUGUAUUCCCUGAAUCGAUCUAACAUGAAUAGCUUUCUAAGGGUACUCUUCUCGGGAUGAGGCAAACCAUUUUUGAGUUUAUAUUUGAUUCCCUGAAUCAAAGGUACCCAUCCUUCAGUUUUUUGAGUUUAUAUAUGUAUUCCCUUUUGUGAUCACAACAAUUUGGUGCUGUCAAGUGGGUUGGUGUUCUUUUUCUCAGGGGAUUGCAACAGCCGUAGACGUUUCAACACAUAGAUUGCUAACCAAGAUAGCAUUGCUGGAAUUUCUCGCAUGAGAUUUGUCUGCACAACUCCAGGAUCCGCAGCACUAAUAUGCAACAAUACGGAAACUGAAUGUAAAAGGUGAAGUAGAAUCCAUGAGACAAGAAUAAAGCUUUAUACAAAAAGUUUAAUACAUUUUGCACAUCUUUUUCAUUUGUCUCAUCUUUUAUUCACUUUCACCCAGAAGAUUGGAUCCUCUAAUCUAGCAACCCAAACCCACUCCAAUAAAGUCAUGAUUAGUUGUUACUUAGAUAACUUUAGCUUAAAAACUGAUCAAAAGUGGAUUUAUAUAAAUGUAGCAGGUGCUAUUUAAACCUUUUUUCCUAUCCAACUCAUUGGAUGAUUAUGCAGUUACAAUCUGGUGCAUUUGUGGUAUCACUUAGUUUUAAUAAAAAAAUUACCUUACUAAGAAACCACUUUUCAAGCAACUGAUUUUUCCUGAAUAUUCUUAGAUGUUAUCCCGGACAGUGAUUUCCCGAUACAUUAGUCAGAGGGACUAUUAUUUUCAGAGAAACCUUCCCAACUGGAUUCCAAUCCUCUAUGUAUUCAGAGGAUGCAGUUCAUGAUGGAACUAGAGAUUGACCUUCUAGCUUUGGAUCAACCGGAGAGGUAAUGGAAAAAUUAAUGGUUGUUUUUCUAUUUCAUUAAUUUGCUAAGCAUUGAUGGAUUUUGUGCUUUACAGGCUGCAAACGUAUUUUUCGGGUUGGAAUCUCAAUGAUUUUCUCACCCAAGCUGCCACUGAUAGAGGUGAGUUACUAUAUUCCUUGUGAUUUCCCAAAUUACAUCAACUCUCUUCAUACAUCUUAAUUUUAGCUUUCGAGAGCAUCACUCUUUAUAUUGUGCUGUUGCCUUUAAAUCUCACUGUUAUGGUUGACGGGCUCUCAACCAACUGUAAUUUGUAAGUAUGUUAGACCAGGUUUCUUCGGUGGUGAUUGGAAAUAGUUUGAGUUGGAAAACCAGCCCUUCAUUCUUUUAAUGAGAAGGGUGCAGAGGAAAAUUAUCUCCCGGAACAACAAGCGGAUCAAAACCUUACUAAAUUUGACAUCCUGUAUACCUUGGUUGGAUCUAAUGAUUUAUUAAUUGACAUCUUUGAUAUUGAAACAAACUGAUGGAGAAUCUUUCUGGACUGUUUUUUGCUUCUCCUUAAAGUCUAUUUCAAAUUGUGAACUUCACAUAUGACUUUUCAUCUUCCCAUCCCACUGUGUUUUGUGUCUAUGGGACAGUGAUUUAAUACUCAUGCAUGUUGAUUAUUCUGACAACAUUAGUUUUUUUAUAAUUUAUGAAUGAUCCUUAUUGAAGGAUGUCUGUCUGUUAGAUGUCAUAUAUAGAUCACUGUCCCAGUUUUAUAAUUUUUAAUACUAAUUCACUGGUAAUUUGAAUGAUAUGGAAUUAUUUACUUUUCCCCGCACCUGAAUUAAAAAAAUGUGUCUCUCUUGCAUCUUUGUUUCCUUCUGUAUUAUGAUCUAUUCUGGAUUUCUUUGUCAUCUAGAAAGGGGAAUUGGGUUGGUUUAAUUUCAUGUAGUAAGUCAUGUGUUUCAAUUUUGCAUAUGAUUGCAUUAGAGGAUAUAGAAAGGCAACAAGAUUGUUUUUGAGACGAAGACGAAAAGCCGAUAAGAUGAGAUAGGUUCUUGCAAUGAGGAGGAUUGUUUUGUUGGUUGGUUCGAGGUGGCAUAAAAAGAGGUACUAGGAGUUUUGGGAUAUAAGUGCCGUUAUUUGCAUAUUUACAGUAGCAAUCGAUGGGGUUUACAUGUUGCAUCAUAAGAAAAAUAUGCAUUCAAAUCAUGUGCAUCGUGCAUUCAAAUCAUGUCACACAUCCAGGGACGAAUUUGUCAGUAUUUUACACAUUCAAAGACGAAAAUGACUAUUUAUCCAAAAUAUAAUUUAAUCUUUUUCUUUUAUCUUUUUUAAUCGUUGCAAGUAUAACAUUAUAAUACAUACUUAAAAAAUAGGAAAGCAAACAUAAGUUAGAAUGAACAUAAUAAUAAACAUAAAAUUGAUUAAUAAGAAUAAUAUAUUGAUUUCUCUGAAAUUUAUAAUAUAAUAGCACUUUACCCAAAAUAUGAGAUUCAAACAAAAAAUACACCGUCAUUAAGUUAAUCUUUGUAAAAAAAAAAAAGACAAAACUUGAUUGUCAUUACAUAAUAUUAUUAUAUUAAAAAUUUCAAACCAAGCACUGAAAAUUUAUGAUAUAUCGACUUCUUGUCUUUUUUGUAUUUUUAGAUUUGUUUAAAAUUACAUUCUUUGCCACUUCGUUUUUAUUUUACCCAAAAUGAAAUUCGUAUUUUCAACUUAAAACACUAAAAAUAAGAUUUUAUUGUUUUUUAUUGUUUUUUUUCAUUUUUACUGAAAAUGUUUUCAAAAAUUCAAUCAAAUAAAUUUUUGUCACCAUUUUCUGUUCUCGGUGAAAAUUAAAAUAGAAAAUAACCAAAUCAAACACCCUAAAUAAUUUUCAAUCUUAGUAACUCUUUAAUUCCACCACUAUUUAUAAUUCAAUAUAACAUAAUAAAGUGUUUAUCCUCCCCUUUAAAUUUUACAACAACUUUUAUUUUCAGCACAAUUUAUUUAUUUCAAAAGUACUAUAGGAUUCAAGACUCUUUUUCUAGUCUAGAUUUACUCGGAUAUAAAUAUUCAUAUUCUAUCAAUUAUUCUUGAAUCUAAACAGUUAGGAAUUUAAUGAAUUCAGGUAGUAGUUAGACAAACUUUACUUAAAAUACACAUUUGAAAUGUGAAUGAGCUAUCUUCAUCCAACUAUACCACCAAUCUAUCAAAUAUCAAUGCGUGUUUAAUGUAGAUAAAUGAAAAGAAAUUACUACUAUUGUUACUGUGCUUCUGCACUUGACGGAAAUAAAUUCCUCUCCGUGCUUCUGCACUUGACUGAAAUAAAUUCCUCUCCGUUUAACAAUUACUAUUACAAGUUUAACAACUACUACAACAUUUAAUUACUACUUUUCAAAGUCCUCAUCCACAGAAAAGAAGAUAAGAUGUGUCAGUACUGUACUCUGAUUGAUUCUGACUCCUCGUGGCUGUUGCAAUUCCAACCUUCUUUGUGCUAUAAAUUUACAAUUAUAACCGGUUAAACAAAAUGGCCUUCAAAAAUAUAAAACUUUGAUCUUUGGAAAUAAGAUAAAGUCAUAAAAUAAAACAAACCAUACGAAAACCAACGAAUACUAAACCAAAAAAAAGUUCCUAAGAAAUAUCAAGCUGUCUUACGGUUAUUCUACUGUCAAUCUGUGUGUACGUAGGAGAGAAUAGGCCACUUGGCACGGUUGGUCUAUGAAGUGUGAAACAAGUCUGGGACACUUGUGACUUAUUUUCACUGUUUUUUUUUUCAAUCUUUAUAAGACCCAAUGCAACCUGACUUUUGUUGUCAUGCACUAAUGCACAUCACAUUCAUUGAUUCAUUCACUAAAUAAUGUAGAUGGUUCAGUUUUAUAUUUCAAAAAUGUUUUUCUUUUCACACUUUAGAAGGGUACAUGUACACUUUUAAAGAAAAAAAUUGAAAGAAAAGAGAGAAAAAAACAAUAAAAUAAGAGUUUAAUGAGUAUUCCAUUUUUAAUUUUUUUUAUCUAAUUAAUAAUCAAUUAGAGACUUUAUUUCUAUGAUUUUUUAAGAUAAAUAUUAGAGUUUGAUGAUUAUAUAUGUAUUUUUAAUGUAAACAAAUUUAUACUGUAAAUUAAUUAAAAAUUAUUAUUAAUAUAAUUUUUUAAAAUUAUUAUUAUAAAAGUUAAUAAAAUUUAUGAUGAAAUAAUCUUAUAAAAUUACUUUAGAUUAUCUAUGCAUAAUUUUUCUCACUAUAUAUAUAUAUAUAUUAUAAAAAUCAACAUAUUUAUUAUACUUAUUUGUGAUUAUAUCAUAAUAAAAUAAUAUAUCAUUUAUUUAAUAAACAAUGUGAUAAAAUAGAAUAGAUGUAACUUUCAUGUAUUUGAGUAUGAAAUAACAUACAUUGAGAAAUAUUAGUCUUUUAAAUAAAUUUUAGGUUUAAUUGUAUAUUUUAUCUUUAACUUUUUAGUUUUUGAUAAAUUUUAUCUCUAACAAAUUAUUUUGGCAUAAUUUAUCCUUAAUUUUUUAAAAAAUUUUAAAUUUUAUCCUUUAUCAUUUAUCGAUUAGUAAGAAUAAAUGUUGGGAGUCAAAUUUGUCAAAAAUAAUAAAAAAUUAGGGGUAAAAUUUGUUAAAAAUAAAAAAAUUAGAUGUUAAAUUUAUGAAAAAAUUAAAAAAAAUAGGUAUAGAAAGGACAAUUAUAUUAGGAAUAAAAUAACAGUCUUAACAUUUGUAAAAUUGAGGAUAAAAUGCAUCAAAAAAAUUGGUUAGAAAUAAAAUUCAUCAAAAACUAAAAAAUUAGAGAUAAAAAUUACAAUUAAAUAUACACUUUAAUAUAUCAAAAAGUUAGUUUUUUUACUCACGAUUAAUUUUAAUUUAUGUGAAAAUAUAAAAUUCGAACUAGAAAAAAGAACAAUAUUUAUAUUUUUUUUACCAGAACUAGAAGAUAAAGGAAAACAACUAGUACACGCACCUUCAUUCCAAGUGGAGUUUAUCGUAAAUUCCUAUUGGGUUCACCAUCUUGACCCACAAAACAGGGGUCGCUUUAACCGCCAGUUUCCAAACAAUCUAUGGGGGCGGGAAUGAAAUGAAAGUGCACCUACAACACUGGUUUUGCUUCUUUUCUUUUCUUUUUUUUCAUUGCUCUAAUAACUAUACAACUCAAAACAGUAGCACAAUACCAUGCCACAUGCCCCUAGUUUUCAAACCAUGAUAUUCUCUCUCUCUCUAGCUAUUAAUAUAAACUAUCAUCUUUAAUUUCUUCCUAGACUUCUCAUCCUCAUGCACUUUUGCACUGUUAUUUAUUGCUAAACUAAAUAUCAAUAUCAAUUAUCUUCUUCCUCUUUAAGUCAAACCAUAACUAUUCCAUUUCUUUCCACCCCACAGUUUCUGAAUUCUGGGUGUUGAGUUUCAUUUUCUCCAUUUUUUUUUCUCUCCCUUGGAUGUGUUAUUUUCAAUCCAAAAGAUCAUGCAAAAAACUAUAUUUGAGAAUCUGAAAGAGUGACUAGGUGGUCUAUUUGAGCUUGUGAAGUUUGUGUUUGUGUGAAAGGUGUGAGGCUUAUUAUUCAUAGAAGAGUUUGUGUUUGUUCACAUAAUUGAUCGUGGUGUGGUGUGUGUCGGUGGCAAUGGAGGCAAGUUUGGUGGAGAGGGGUAGAGAGAGAGCUGGACAUGUUAACAAGGUUGGUUAUGUUAGAAGGGUCAUUGCAAAGAAGAAGAAACAGCUUUAUCGAAGGGUUAGGAGACCUGAGUUGAGUGUUUCAAAGACACUUCACCAAUUAUUUGAUUCAUGCAGAGAAGCUUUCAAAGGCCCUGGGACUGUUCCUUCACCACAAGAUGUUAAGAGAUUGACUCACAUACUUGGUAUGAUGAUGAUAUUACUGGUACUUUUUUUAUUAUUAUUCUUAUCGGCAAUAUUACUGAUACUAAUAUUUGAUGGGGCUGGAUAAGAAAAUUUGUAGCAUCUUUUGAUCCUAAUUAAAAAUUUGUAGUCACAUGUUGGCAAGUUUAGGAAACAGAACUUUGCAUUUGUUUGGAUAUUUAGGUUAUUAGUAAGAAAAUUUAUAUUUUUUAACAUCCACUUUCCCGAAUUACAUAAAAUUACAAACAAGAAUGCUCCCCUCGAUCAAAUUGUCUUUGGGACAUGACGUCUUAGUUUUAUACCCCACUAACGGAUCAAUUCAUUUUCUUUUGGCCGCAGUUUAUUCUAGUGACGUAUUGUGCAUUUGCAAUUUAUUUUCUCUAAGAAUUUAGGCAUUUAUUAUUAUUAAUUCAUGGUUGUAUUAUUGUAUAUUUAUAUCAACGUAUUCUAGCUUAGUUGGGUGAGGAGUGUGCUUGAAUUGUGGUAAAUUCUCUACUGGUGCUGAUUCUUAAUGUCUUCAGAUAACAUGAAGCCAGAAGAUGUGGGGCUAAGUAGAGAUCUGCAGUUCUUCAAGCCUGGAAAUAUUGUCAAAGAGAACCAAAGGGUCACUUAUACAACCGUGUACAAGUGUGACAAUUUCUCAGUAAGUGUUUCAUUCUCAUUACUCCCUAAUCACCAACACUCACCACUGUAAUUGCUACUUGCUGCUUUGUGUGCUUAAUUCAUUUAUGGGGACAUUUUCUCUAUGUGCAGCUCUGCAUCUUUUUCAUACCUGAAGGAGGAGUCAUUCCUCUCCACAACCACCCGGACAUGACUGUUUUCAGCAAGCUUUUAUUAGGACUAAUGCACAUUAAGUCCUAUGAUUGGGUUGAGCCUGAGGCCUCUGAUGAUAACAUGUUGCAACCACAAUCUCAAUGUGGGUUCUCUCUCCUUUUUGCUUUUUUUUUUUUUAAUUUUAAAUGACCAUGAAUUAAUGGGGUGUGUAAUUAGUUCUUUGUAAGCUGACCCCCACACAUGCGUUUUUUUUUUUUUUUUGCAGUGAGAUUGGCAAGGUUAAAAGUUGAUAAGGUGUUCACAUCUUCAUGUGGCACUUCUGUCCUGUAUCCAACAACAGGAGGCAACAUCCAUGAAUUCACAGCCAUAACCCCAUGUGCUGUGCUUGAUGUCAUUGGCCCUCCUUAUUCCAAAGAAGAUGGAAGGGACUGUUCCUACUACAGAGAUCACCCUUAUACUUGUUUUCCUAGUAAGUAACUCUCUCAUUGUGCACAAUCAUUGUAUGUGAAACUUUUAGCAAAUCACAUUUAUAUUGUUUGCAAGUAUGCUAUUGUUUUUUUUUUUAAGAAAUUGUAUGGCACCUUCAGAAAUUUGAGUAUUUUGGUACUGUUAUUGAGAGAAACUCUCUUGCGUUUCCAAACUCAUUCAACUAUUGACUAUUUUUUGACUUAAAAACAAUUGUACCAAAACUCAUAUAUUUCUCUUGGUACUACAAAUCUCAAUUUCUUUUGCUCAUUUCCAUAAUAAUUUUUUGCUUUAAGGACAAGACUUACACAGUUCUUUGAUGUUAUUUUCCAAAUCUAUUUGAAGUUCAUCUUGAAUUAGAUAUAAACAUAGGUGAAACUCUCGUUUUGAUUAGAGAUUUGUGUGCAUCUAAUUUUUGUCCUUGUCUUAAAAGAAAUUAAAAUGGGAUUCAAAUGUUUCCACUUGUCAUAUAAUUCCUCCUUAUUCUGUCAAACUUUCACCUAUUAAGAUUCUUAUCAACACACUGAUUCAACUUGAAUAUCGAAUUUGAAAAAGAUAAAAAGGGUAGCAAUACAUAUGCACAAACAUUAAACAGUGUUAGAUAAUGUUAGCAUCAGAUCUCUCGUCUUCUUUUGUGCAUCACUAUUCCUACUUGACGAGGUGGCACCUCCACUUGUCCACUAUUAUUUUAGUGUCUGUCUGAGAGGAUGUACAAUUGUACAUUACUGCCAUGUCUCUGACCAUUAAUGAUUUACCCUGCAGACGAAAGGAUUAUUGGUGAGGCAAAAGAGGAAAAUGAUAGUUACACGUGGCUGGAAGAAAUUGAGAUGCCAGAGAACUCUGAAAUGAAUGGCGUUGAGUACCUGGGUCCAACACCC